CACAGACGAGUGAACAGAAUUGAUCAAUUUCAGGAGCAACCAAGUGAGGAGCUGUUUACUGAGACGACAAACCAUCACCACAAAACUGAAAAAUCCAACGAUCACGAAGAGCAAAGAGACAUAAAACCACCACCAACACUCAGUCUGGAUCAUCGUGAGUCUGUCAGGUUUCAUCGUGUUGAGUUGAUCGUUCUCCGAGGAACCUUCAGGAUGACCUGAGAACAUGAAGCUGAGUCGGUGUUACCGUGGAAACCCUGAGAAUGUAAAGCCGAAGAGAAGAAACUCUCUGACCUACUUUCAUUCAUGAGAAUCCGUUACGCAACAAGAAGAGAAGUCAGCCUCCUUCAGCCGGUCAGAGACAUGAAGACCAUGUGAUCCGGUCAACAGGAAGUGGACUCAGAGAUCCAAAAACGACAAGUUCUUAACUAAAACCAGCUGAUUCAAACCUCAGAACCAGAAUUCUGCAGCACUAAAGUCUGAACAUUUAAAACCAAGUACAGAAAAUAAACCGAGACAGAUGAAAAUAUACAAACACAAAACCAGAACUGACUGAACCACACCUCCCUGAUGAACAAUCAGAAACAAAUCCAUGAGAAAGACUGACCUGAAAAUCAGGUACUGAUAUGGACCAGGUCUAUCUAUGUCUGCAUCAUGGAGGAACAGAAACAUCUGACUAAGAGUCUCAAAAAGAUAGAAAAAGAUCCAGGAAGAUCAGUGAACACCUAAAAACCAGUGAAGCACAGAGUCAGCAGGAAUCAGGAGGUCUAGAAGGAGUCAUAGUUCCACUAAUCAGGAGGUCUAGAAGGAGUCAUAGUUCCACUAAUCAGGAGGUCUAGAAGGAGUCAUAGUUCCACUAAUCAGGAGGUCUAGAAGGAGUCACAGUAGCACUAAUCAGGAGGUCUAGAAGGAGUCAUAGUUCCACUAAUCAGGAGGUCUAGAAGGAGUCAUAGUACCACUAAUCAGGAGGUAUAGAAGGAGUCAUAGUUCCACUAAUCAGGAGGUCUAGAAGGAGUCAUAGUUCCACUAAUCAGGAGGUCUAGAAGGAGUCAUAGUUCCACUAAUCAGGAGGUAUAGAAGGAGUCAUAGUUCCACUAAUCAGGAGGUCUGGAAGGAGUCAUAGUUCCACUAAUCAGGAGGUCUAGAAGGAGUCAUAGUUCCACUAAUCAGAGCUCCUAAAAUGACUCCACAGACAGUGAACUACUUUCUCCAUCAGCUGUAAAAACAGACAUCAGCUGCUUCAGACUUGGUUCAGAGGUUCUCCAUGGAAACCAGAGUUAGUGUGAAGCUCAGACAGUGUGAAGGAACCUUCAGAACAUCAACCUCUAUGGACGGAGGACCAGAACCUGGUGGCUGCUCAGGUUCUGAGUUUCGUCCAUAGAGGUUGAUAAACCUCCAGACGAAACUAAAGAACACGA